CCACGAGGAGCUGAGUGUGCAGCAGACCCCAGACACCAUUUCAAUCAAGGUUGAAGAGGAUAUUGGUGGAGGCAUGCCCGCUGUAGGUGUCAGGAAUGCUGAAUCCGCUCUGAUUCCCAGUAUAACUACAGUAUUGGUAAAGCAGGUGAUCGGAAACCACAGAUGACCUGGGUUGUGUCUUGAUGACCUCCCCACAUCCUUAAAAGGCGGAGACGUAGCGGUUCCUUCUCAGCUGGAGCCUUUGACCCUUGACCCCCCCCCAAGGGGAACAAGGGAAAUGCAUAAUAAACAAAAUGACGUUAGAAAGAAUGUCUCAAAAUAUACUUCUUCUAAUACAUCAGUGUGUAAAAGUACAUGCUGUAUCCCUUUGUGCAAAUCAUGAAUUCAAACCAUUACUUUCUCUGUCUUUGUUUUCCUCUCUGAAG
ensembl:lncRNA